rnacentral:rRNA from 1 species
AUCAUUAACUGAAUCCAUAGGUUAAUGAGGCGAACCGGGGGAACUGAAACAUCUAAGUACCCCGAGGAAAAGAAAUCAACCGAGAUUCCCCCAGUAGCGGCGAGCGAACGGGGAGGAGCCCAGAGCCUGAAUCAGUGUGUGUGUUAGUGGAAGCGUCUGGAAAGGCGCGCGAUACAGGGUGACAGCCCCGUACACAAAAAUGCACAUGCUGUGAGCUCGAUGAGUAGGGCGGGACACGUGGUAUCCUGUCUGAAUAUGGGGGGACCAUCCUCCAAGGCUAAAUACUCCUGACUGACCGAUAGUGAACCAGUACCGUGAGGGAAAGGCGAAAAGAACCCCGGCGAGGGGAGUGAAAAAGAACCUGAAACCGUGUACGUACAAGCAGUGGGAGCACAGAGCAAUCUGUGUGACUGCGUACCUUUUGUAUAAUGGGUCAGCGACUUAUAUUCUGUAGCAAGGUUAACCGAAUAGGGGAGCCGAAGGGAAACCGAGUCUUAACUGGGCGUUAAGUUGCAGGGUAUAGACCCGAAACCCGGUGAUCUAGCCAUGGGCAGGUUGAAGGUUGGGUAACACUAACUGGAGGACCGAACCGACUAAUGUUGAAAAAUUAGCGGAUGACUUGUGGCUGGGGGUGAAAGGCCAAUCAAACCGGGAGAUAGCUGGUUCUCCCCGAAAGCUAUUUAGGUAGCGCCUCGUGAAUUCAUCUCCGGGGGUAGAGCACUGUUUCGGCAAGGGGGUCAUCCCGACUUACCAACCCGAUGCAAACUGCGAAUACCGGAGAAUGUUAUCACGGGAGACACACGGCGGGUGCUAACGUCCGUCGUGAAGAGGGAAACAACCCAGACCGCCAGCUAAGGUCCCAAAGUCAUGGUUAAGUGGGAAACGAUGUGGGAAGGCCCAGACAGCCAGGAUGUUGGCUUAGAAGCAGCCAUCAUUUAAAGAAAGCGUAAUAGCUCACUGGUCGAGUCGGCCUGCGCGGAAGAUGUAACGGGGCUAAACCAUGCACCGAAGCUGCGGCAGCGACACUGUGUGUUGUUGGGUAGGGGAGCGU